AUUUUCCCUGCCAAGCUAAGGAUGCAAACAAAUGGUAAAUCUCAUUAUUGUGACAUUCUGGCACUGUGAUUAUUCACUGAUAACAAAAUAAACACAGAAAAUCUUCACCCGAUAAAGCAUUACAGAUCUCCAUAUCUACUUAGCUCUAAACAAUGAGAAGGCUAGGGCACCACAGGCAGCAUGGGAAGCAAGGAGUGGGAGGAGUGAAGGGAAUGCUGGCUAAACUAUCAAUUGCUGUAGUUGUUCUCUUGAUCUGCACGCUCUCCUUGCUGUUUUCGACUACGAUUACUGGAAGUAGCGGAUCGAGUGGUCCGUCUGAGAUCAAUGUUGAAGAACUUUGGGAAAGUGCUAAUUCAGGUGGCUGGAGGCCAUCAUCUGCUCCAAGAUCUGACUGGCCACCUCCUCCAAAAGAGAGCAAUGGUUAUCUGCGUGUUCGUUGUAAUGGUGGUUUGAAUCAGCAACGAAGUGCGGUUUGUAAUCCAUUCUUAGAAACCUCAAUAAAUCAGUGCUAUAUUUCCCCACAUGCUCCUCUUACAGCUUUCUAUUGCAAAAUUCUAUUGGGUGCAAUCAUGGAAAACACUUACCUGUGUGGCUGUUCAGCUGUACCACUGUGUGAGAUUGUUUGUCAGGGAUAAUUAGAUGCCAAAUAAAUUCAUUCAUUCUGAUAAAUGAGUCUUGCUGUGUUAUUAUAACCAUGCUAGAUUUUAAGAUGAGCUCAAUGUGUUCAAGAUCUGUAUUAGGAUGGUGAUGUCUGUUCAAUGCGUUUACUUGAAAUUAAUUGGCAUAUACUACCUUGGAUAUUACAGAUUUGUAAUGCAGUUCUUGCUGCUAGAAUCAUGAAUGCUACCCUUGUGCUGCCUGAGUUGGAUGCUAACUCCUUCUGGCAUGAUGAAAGUGGCUUCCAUGGCAUUUAUGAUGUUGAGUAUUUUAUCCAGUCACUGAGAUUUGAUGUACGUAUUGUGGAAAGGAUACCAGAAAUUCAUAAAAAUGGGAAAACCAAGAAGAUAAAGGCUUUU
rnacentral:misc_RNA from 1 species